rnacentral:lncRNA from 1 species
CCCGUCCUCCUUUUUCCCCUCUGGUCGCCCACCAUCGUCGUGGCCAUGGACGCCACUGUCCACGCGCCUUCCGUCGACCCCGUCGCCUAGGACCGCGCCGGGAGCUCCGCCGUCAGUCUUCACAUCGUCUACGACCACGACAUCAAGCUCUCCGCCACUGCCUCGUCGGGAUGGAGCUCUUCUCCCCGCUUCGGUCACCGGAGCUUCACCAACGAUUGCGACGACGCUGCAGCUCCUAAGCCUCCCGCCGGCUACCGUGUGCCGUUCGGUGAGUACCUCCUCUCCCCUCCCGUUAUUCCGCCGUAGGCUGCCGUCCCCGAGCUCGUCCGAGCUCUUGCUUAUGGGUACGCGUACAUGCAUGCAUCCUGCUAGCUGCUACUCUGCGUCGCUACAAGCUGCUGCUGCCCGCGGCCCCUGUUGCUCCGCACUGCCGUCGCUCUACUCCCGCGCCGGUGCCUUGAUCUCGUACCGCUCGUGCGCGUCCACGGCUCCUGCAACCGCUGCUGUCUACACCGCAGCGCCAGCUUGCCUCGCUCGCGGCCUUCCCAGCCACCCUGCGAGCCCGCCGCCCGCUCGUCCACGCCCGAUGCUGCCACUGCCGCUUGCCGUCGCCCCCGCGGAGCCAGUGCCUGCGCCGCGUGCACCGCGCGCCCGCACUGCCGUGCCCGGCGCCGCUUCCCCCAGCCUGCUACAUCUCCGCAUGUUGCUACGCUGCUUCGCCGCCGCGGUUCCUCGCUGGCCGCGCCACACCCAGCGCCCAGCCUGCGCGUGCAUGCGCGCCCGCGUCUGUGCUGCUGGUGCUGCUAGCUUCCGCCGUCGGCGCCCCUGUGUGUGCGUGCGUGCUGCUGCUGUCUACCUUCUGCUGCCGCUCCUACUGACUGCUAGCUACAGUAACAUUCAGUUACUGUAGCUGCAGCCAGCUUCGGCAAAUUCACAUUGAGUAGCCCCUUUGACAGCCAAUAAACAUCCACAAAACAAGUUCUUAUGUGGAUAAAAAUAAUUUGGGGAGAGAGUACACUUGAAAAUUUUCAUUUUAUCCAACUGGACCAAAUCCUUUUUACGCAUGGAUUAAUUCCUACGAAAAUCACAAAGUCCAAUGUUCUGUUAAUAGAAAAACUGAAAACAGCUUUAUUUUCAUAGCUACUUUAGAGCUGUUGAUGAUCAAGCAAAUGAACCCUAAUAUGAAUGAAAGCGAUACUACCAUGUAGGUCAUAGAAAAAUGCUAAAAAUUGAUAUAAGGCACAAAAUCAAAGGAGGUACAGAUCCAGAGUUGUAGCCUUUUGAAAACAACUAAAAGUUGUUUAAAACUGACGAAUUCUCAGACUUAGCAAAAUUUCAGGGAUUUUUGGAAUAUUGUUUAAAUCUUUGAAAAAUAGUAGAAAAUAAUCCGUAACUCCGAUGAAAAAGUCUUCUACAUGAAAGUUGCUCAGAAUGACGAGACGAAUCGGAAUACGCUCUCCGUUCACCUGUCACAUGCCCCUAGUGUAACGCCCCAGGACCGACGCUCCAGAUGCCUUCCUUGUUUUGCGAGUCAGCUGGGUUAUCUAUUUGUUUGUUGCAUCUCAUCUCAUAGCAUCAUGCGCAUUGCAUUUGCAUGUUUUCUUAAAGCUUGCAUCCGUUCGUAGUUGCCGUGUCCCUGCCUUCGUUGACGGUUCUGAGUCCCUCGAGUUUUCGCUUCCCUCUUGAUCGUGACCGCCUAACCCCCUUUGCGUGCGUGUCCGAAACUUCCACGAACUCGAUCCGGGCAGUCGUGACCGUUGGAUUCAAAUCAUCCCCAAACAUCUAUAAAACAUCUACGUUUCUUACUUGGACUUCCUAACCUAUAUUUUUCCCAGCCAUCCGAUUACAAUCCUAGGGACGAGCUAGCCCUAACCAAAAAUCCACUGGCUAUAUAUAUAUAUCAGUCUAACCCUAGUUUUUAGGCCUCCUGUCCCAUCCAUUCCAUCCGCAGCGCCGCCACUCCACCGAGUCUCUCCUUCCACCUCGGGAUCUUCCCAGAUCCCCUCCCGAUACAAAAUCAUCCCUUGGUUUUCCGCGCUGCCCAAAUCCCAGCAGCCACCCACCUCCUCCUCUCGGUCCAUCCUCGUGCCCAGCUUCAGAUCAGGAGCCUCGAUCUCGAGCUCCUCUACUUCUUCCCCAAGCGCCCGAGGCCUACCUCUUCUCCUCUCGAUCCGGAAGGGAUCGUGGAGCUGCUCGAGGCCCCGAGCAGCAGCGCUCGGCCUCGUCCCCUCGCCCCGCCGCCGCCGGCAACCAGCUCCUCCAAGUCGCCCACAUCUCUACACCCGCGCUGAACGCCUCCCGCUUCGCCGAGCACACGAAGGACUCCUCGCUCCCGUCAUCAACCAUGCGCCCAUCGUCCCGAGCCAGGAGCCCCUCGUUCGAGAGCCAAUCACCUCCUCCCGCUUGUCACCUCACCGGAGCUCCUUCCUCGACGCCGAGCUCGCCAAGCCCGGGCACCGCUCCUCCUCUGCGCGCCCCGUCUUCCUCGUCGACCAGGACUGGCCUCGUCCCUCUCUCUCUCCCUUCGUUCUCCUCCUUCUGUCUCUCUCGCUCUCUCAAAUUCUUUCUCUCUCGCCAGGUACAGGAGCAACAGGAGGUCGCCCCUGCUGCCAUGAUCACCGUCCCGUGCCGUCGAGCCUCGCCAAGUCCUUCCCCGUGCCCGGAUCCGCACCCCUCUGUUCCCUGCGCCGCCAAGUCCCUCGCCGGAGCACUCGUCCCCAUGUUCCGCGCCUCUGCUUCCCCUGCAUCGCCCCCUGUCUUCUGCCUCGUCCUCGUUCGAGCAAAGCACGAGCGCACGCUGUCGCCGCGCGUUGACCCGCGCUUGGGUCGCGUCCAGCAUACCAAGGCCCAGCGCCUCUUCCACCGACUGGGUCGAGCCCAUGGGUGAGAAGCCCCUCCAGCCCCUCCCCUAUACACUAUCGAGCCAGCCAGAUUCGGCCCGCGUACUUUUUUUUAGAUCUGCGAGUUUGCUAAUUAACCAGGGAACUGCAUGUUUACAGAUUGCACCCUCAUGUUCAUGCAUUUAAUUACUCUACAACCGUGCAUCGGUUUAAAAUGUUUUAUAUAUGCAAAAUGCUUAGAAUUUCAUCUAGUUUCAUAAUAUGUUGCUUUCAUCCGUGUUUAAAAUGUUUAAAUUGAUGUUUGCUUUAAUUCGCAUAAAUGCCAUGUUAAUUUUUUUUUCAUAACUAAAUAACCGUAGCUCCAUUUUCAAUAAACUUUAUAUGUAAAUGGGGUAGGAAAAUGCCUAGUUUAACAUGGUGCACUUCAUUUUGCUGUUUAACAACAUUAAAUUAUGUUUUGGGCAGAACAGUAGAAAAUUCGAAACAUGCAUAUGAGGAUUUUCCGGAAUUGUAAGUUGUUGUUUCGGCCUCAUUUAAACUUGCCUAAAUAGUUAGUUUACUUAUGCUUCACCUCUUGCCAUGUUAAUCAACAUUUAAUAUUGUUGGGUACAUAAAUUAGAGAGAACUAUAUAUUUGAUGUGGUGUUUCGUCAAUAUGCAACUCGUUGCAUAUUGAGCUCCACUUAAUUUGUAGUACUGUUUGUGCACUUUGCCAUGCCAUGCCUCAUUAAACCGGACAUGCAUCAUACUUGAUUUUGCAUCAUGCCAUGCUUAUGUGAUGGUUGUUUACCAUGUUUCUUGCUUCUUUCCUGUUUGCUUCUCUCGUUAGCUUCGGUUUCGUUCCGGAGUUGUGAGGAUUUGUUCGACUGCGUCCGUUUGUCUUCUUCAUGGACUCGUUCUUCUUCCUUGCGGGAUCUCAGGCAAGAUGACCAUUACCCUCGAUAUCACUUCUAUCUUUGCUUGCUAGUUGUUCGUUCUAUCGCUACGUCGCGCUACCUACCACUUGUUAUAUCAUGCCUCCCAUAUUGCCAUGUCAAGCCUCUAACCCACCUUCCUAGCAAACAGUUGUUUGGCUAUGUUACCGCAUUUGCUCAGCCCCUCUUAUAGCGUUGUUAGUUGCAGGUGAAGUUGAAGUUGGUUCCAUGUUGGAACAUGGAUAUUUUGGGAUAUCACAAUAUAUUUUAUUUUAUUAAUGCAUCUAUAUACUUGGUAAAGGGUGGAAGGCUCGGCCUUAUGCCUGGUGUUUUGUUCCACUCUUGCCGCCCUAGUUUCCGUCAUACCGGUGUUAUGUUCCUUGAUUUUGCGUUCCUUAUGCGGUUUGGGUUAUGGGACCCCCUUGAGGGUUCGCUUUGAAUAAAACUCCUCCAGCAAGGCCCAACCUUGGUUUUACAUUUGCCUACCUAAGCCUUUCCCUUGGGUUUUCGCGAGCCCGAGGGUCAUCUUUAUUUUAACACACCCCCCAAGCCAGUGCUCCUCUAAGUGUUGGUCCGAACCGAGCAGCCUGCGGGGCCACCUUGGGGAAACUUGAGGGUUGGUUUUACUCGUAGCUUAUCUCAUCCGGUGUGCCCUGAGAACGAGAUAUGUGCAGGUCCUAUCGGGAUUUGUCGGCACAAUCGGGUGGUCUUGCUGGUCUUGUUUUACCAUUGUCGAAAAGUCUUGUAACCGGGAUUCCGUGUCUGAUCGGGUUAUUCCGGUUGAAGGAAUAUCCUUCGUUGAUCGUGAGAGCUUGUGAUGGGCUAAGUUGGGACACCUCUGCAGGGUAUAAACUUUCGAGAGCCGUGCCCGCAGUUAUGUGGCAGAUGGGAAUUUGUUAAUAUUUGGUUGUAGAGAACUUGACACUUGACUUAAUUAAAAUGCAUCAACCGCGUGUGUAGCCGUGAUGGUUUAUUUUCGGCGGAGUCCGGAAAGUGAACACGGUCUUGUGUUAUGCUUGGACGUAAGUAGUUUCAGGAUCACUUGUUGAUCACUUCUAGCUUCUCGACCGUUGCGUUGCUUCUCUUCUCGCUCUUAUUUGUGUAUGUUAGCCACCAUAUUUUGCUUAUCGCUUGCUGCAGCUCCACCGCACUACUUUAUCCUACCCAUAAGCUUAAAUAGUCUUGAUCUCGCGGGUGUGAGAUUGUUGAGUCCUCGUGACUCACGGAUACUUCCAAACAGUUGCAGGUGCCGAUGAUACCAGUGUAGGUGAUGCUACAGAGCUCAAGUGGGAGUUUGACGAGGACCUUGGUCGUUACUAUGUUUCGUUUACUGAUGAUCAGUAGUGCUGCCCAGUUGGGACGAUCGGGGAUCUAGCAUUUGGGGUUAUCUUCUUUUCUUUUGCAUUUGACCAUAGUCGGUCUAUGUGUGUACUCUGAAUGAUGUAUGUUAAUUAAUGUAUUGUGUGAAGUGGCGAUUGUAAGCCAACUCUUUAUCCCAUUCUUGUUCAUUACAUGGGAUUGUGUGAAGAUGACCCUUCUUGUGACAAAACCAUGCGGUUAUGCCUCUAAGUCGUGCCUCAAUACAUGGGAGAUAUAGCCGCAUCGUAGGUGUUACAAGUUGGUAAUCAG